GUGAUUUUGCAGCGUUACAGUAAUGACCUGACCAACUAACAGCAUUAGGCCUCUGGCGUGAUAAGUGGAGUGGACAGUCAGCAGUUCUGUCAAAUCAGCCACUCUGAACUGCUGUACCUGUCAGCCUGUCGGCAAUGAUCUCACGCUUUCUGUGCAG